UAUUCUUUUUGAAUUUAUUUAUGCUAUAGGUCAUAGUCAUAACAGAUGAAGUGUCGAAGUUCGAACUGUCGGUCAGGGUGCAUCAUUCCGCGAAGACUUAAUCAACAUGUAGCCUUGUGCUGCUGGGUGCUGGCACUGGGAGAGAAGGAACAGGAGUCAGGCUCAGGACAACCUCCAUGGCACUCAUUCUGCUGGCAUCUCAUUCCGUUCAGUCAUCACCAAUCUCUUCAAAGAUAAAUUCAGAUCACAAUGGAGUUCUUGGACCUGAACUCUGCAACCUAGGAGCUGGUUGGGGAUUCCUUGAUUAAGCAUCUCUGCCAAUUCUGUAACUCAGGGAUGGUUAUGAGACGACGAGACGUAAGGGGGCAUACGAGGAGAGGGUGCGGGACG